rnacentral:rRNA from 1 species
GACGAACGCUGGCGGCGUGCCUAAUACAUGCAAGUCGAACGCAGUGGGGACGGGUGAGUAACACGUGGGUAACCUGCCAUCAGAGGGGAUAACACUUGGAAACAGGUGCUAAACCGAUACUGAUGGAUGGACCCGCGGUGCAUUAGCUAGUUGGUGAGGUAACGGCUAACCAAGGCCACGAUGAAUAGCCGGCCUGAGAGGUGGAUCAGCCACACUGGGACUGAGACACGGCCCAGACUCCUACGGGAGGCAGCAGUGGGGAAUAUUCGGCAAUGGACGAAAGUCUGACGGAGCAACGCCGCGUGUGUGAAGAAGGUUUUCGGGUCGUAAAACUCUGUUGGUGGGGAAGCGGUAUCUGACCAGAAAGCCACGGCUAACUACGUGCCAGCAGCCGCGGUAAUUC